rnacentral:tRNA from 1 species
UCUCGAUUAGUAUAGUGGUCAGUAUGCCAGCUUGUCAAAGAAUGAAUAAUUCAACUCGCUGGAGACCGGGGUUCAAUUCCCCGAUCGAGAG